UGUCCAAGUGGACAGCAAAUGAAGUUCAUGGCGCUGAUGGAGUUAAUGGCAGUGAGUCAGCUGGGACACUCGCAGCAGGUCAGCUGACACUCUUUCUUGCUGUCCAGAGCAUUUAGUCUGCUGGACAUGCGCCCAAGACUGAGAGCCGAGGUGGAUGACAGCAGUGUGCCUCUUGGUUGCCACCGGUUGCUUCGCUGUUCUCAGCUUUCAGGAUUUUUUUUAAAGAUGGAUUUUUGUCUAGCACAGUCAUGAACGGUGAUGGGAAGAACAGGCUGAGCAGCUGUUGACUGAAAUAACAGAGGGGUGGUUUGGUAUCUGGAAACGCUCAACACAAGUUGUCCUGCAGGCUUUGAUGAUGACUUUUGCAUAUAAAAUUAUGGGUCAGAAGCAGGAAGCUGAGUGCUCCUUAUGCCAAAGUGUCUCGCUUGGCAAAGUUUACUUGGUACUUGAAGGCACUGAACAAUUUCCUGAGGGGCCCGGUCCUUUGAGAAUGUAUAUUCCAAGAUAAUUGCUGUCUGUUUCUAUAGAACUCUGGAAGUCUGUGUUCGUGGGAAUUUCACAAGGACAGAGGGCAAGAAGCCGAUAAAUUUAUAAAACACCUAAAGUGAAGAAAAGAAAGAAUCUAAUCCAAUUUCAAGUCACUGUGUUGGAAACUGUCCUUACUCACAAACUGGGGCCUUGCCACUGGCAUGUGUCUGUCCAUAGCUUCAAGAUGAGUUUGGAGUGAAGAGGACACAGCAAGGAGGUUAAAUCGAGGCUUCCGGCAGUGCAGUGUCGUCAGUGCUUUCAUGCCAAGUGCUUUACAUUUUCACCCUGGACUGGCCUUCCAGCUAUUGUGGUUACCUUCACCACCUAACCUGUCACUUAUACCGAACAACAGUUUUACCUGUCCACACCGUGCCUCAUUCACCUAGGUAACACUUAAACCAAGGUUCUGGUUGCCAUUGUGAAAUGCUCCUAGCAAUUUCUCUUGUAAGGAAGAGUCAGCUUUUUAUAAAGAUGUCUUACUAUUUAUUGA